AAUAGAUACCCAGGUAGUCCACGCCGUAAACGAUGAGUGCUAAGUGUUAGAGGGUUUCCGCCCUUUAGUGCUGCAGCUAACGCAUUAAGCACUCCGCCUGGGGAGUACGGUCGCAAGACUGAAACUCAAAGGAAUUGACGGGGGCCCGCACAAGCGGUGGAGCAUGUGGUUUAAUUCGAAGCAACGCGAAGAACCUUACCAGGUCUUGACAUCCUCUGACAACUCUAGAGAUAGAGCGUUCCCCUUCGGGGGACAGAGUGACAGGUGGUGCAUGGUUGUCGUCAGCUCGUGUCGUGAGAUGUUGGGUUAAGUCCCGCAACGAGCGCAACCCUUGAUCUUAGUUGCCAGCAUUUAGUUGGGCACUCUAAGGUGACUGCCGGUGACAAACCGGAGGAAGGUGGGGAUGACGUCAAAUCAUCAUGCCCCUUAUGACCUGGGCUACACACGUGCUGCAAUGGAUGGUACAAAGGGCUGCAAGACCGCGAGGUCAAGCCAAUCCCAUAAAACCAUUCUCAGUUCGGAUUGGU
rnacentral:rRNA from 1 species